rnacentral:rRNA from 1 species
UACGAGGGGGGCAAAUGUUGUUCGGAAUCACUGGGCGUAAAGGGAGCGUAGGCGGGUUCCUAAGUAAGGUGUUUAAUCCCGGGGCCCAACCCCGGACCGGCACUUUAAACUGGGAAUCUUGAAUAGUGGAGAGGUCGGUGGAAUUGGGGGUGUAGCGGUGGAAUGCGUAGAGAUCCCCAAGAACACCAGUUGCGAAGGCGGCCGACUGGACACAUAUUGACGCUGAGGCUCGAAAGCAUGGGGAGCAAACAGG